GACGAACGUUGGCGGCGUGCUUAAUACAUGCAAGUCAACUGAAGCAGUGGUAGCAAUAUCGCUGUGGAGGUGGCGCACGGGUGAGUAACACGUAGGUAAUCUGCCUUCAGGUCUGGCAUAACUCCGGGAAACCGGGGCUAAUAGCAGAUGAUGCAGCGGCUCGACAUCGAGACAGUUGUUAAAGCUAUGGCGCCUGAAGAUGAGCCUGCGUCUGAUUAGCUAGUUGGCGGGGUAACGGCCCACCAAGGCAACGAUCAGUAGCUGGUCUGAGAGGAUGAUCAGCCACACUGGAACUGAGACACGGUCCAGACUCCUACGGGAGGCAGCAGUAAGGAAUAUUGCUCAAUGGGAGAAAUCCUGAAGCAGCAACGCCGCGUGAGGGACGAAGGGCUUUUGCUUGUAAACCUCUGUAGUGAGAGAAAAAAAUCCCAAUCUUUGGGACAUGAUGGUAUCUCAAAAGUAAGCCCCGGCUAGCUACGUG
rnacentral:rRNA from 1 species